rnacentral:rRNA from 1 species
UACGAAGGGGGCUAGCGUUGCUCGGAAUCACUGGGCGUAAAGGGUGCGUAGGCGGGUCUUUAAGUCAGGGGGGAAAUCCUGGAGCUCAACUCCAGAACUGCCUUUGAUACUGAAGAUCUUGAGUUCGGGAGAGGUGAGUGGGACUGCGAGUGUAGAGGUGAAAUUCGUAGAUACUCGCAAGAACACCAGUGGCGAAGGCGGCUCACUGGCCCGAUACUGACGCUGAUGCACGAAAGCGUGGGGAGCAAACAGG